CAUAACCUGGUUGAUCCUGCCAGUAGUCAUAUGCUUGUCUCAAAGAUUAAGCCAUGCAUGUCUAAGUAUAAGCAUCUUAUACGGCGAAACUGCAGAUGGCUCAUUAAAUCAGUUAUAGUUUAUUUGAUGAUACCUUACUACAUGGAUACCCGUAGUAAUUCUAGAGCUAAUACAUGCGCAAACGGGACUCCGCAA
rnacentral:rRNA from 1 species